UCAUCUCCGGGGGUAGAGCACUGUUUCGGCUAGGGGGCCAUCCCGGCUUACCAACCCGAUGCAAACUGCGAAUACCGGAGAAUGUUAUCACGGGAGACACACGGCGGGUGCUAACGUCCGUCGUGAAGAGGGAAACAACCCAGACCGCCAGCUAAGGUCCCAAAGUCAUGGUUAAGUGGGAAACGAUGUGGGAAGGCACAGACAGCCAGGAUGUUGGCUUAGAAGCAGCCAUCAUUUAAAGAAAGCGUAAUAGCUCACUGGUCGAGUCGGCCUGCGCGGAAGAUGUAACGGGGCUAAACCAUGCACCGAAGCUGCGGCAGCGACGCUUAUGCGUUGUUGGGUAGGGGAGCGUUCUGUAAGCCGCAGAAGGUGGACUGUGAGGUCUGCUGGAGGUAUCAGAAGUGCGAAUGCUGACAUAAGUAACGAUAAAGCGGGUGAAAAGCCCGCUCGCCGGAAGACCAAGGGUUCCUGUCCAACGUUAAUCGGGGCAGGGUGAGUCGACCCCUAAGGCGAGGCCGAAAGGCGUAGUCGAUGGGAAACAGGUUAAUAUUCCUGUACUCGGUGUUACUGCGAAGGGGGGACGGAGAAGGCUAUAUCAGCCGGGCGACGGUUGUCCCGGUUUAAGCAUGUAGGCGGAGGUUCCAGGUAAAUCCGGAAUCUUGUUAACGCUGAGGUGUGAUGACGAGGCACUACGGUGCUGAAGUGAUAAAUGCCCUGCUUCCAGGAAAAGCCUCUAAGCAUCAGGUAACACAGAAUCGUACCCCAAACCGACACAGGUGGUCAGGUAGAGAAUACCAAGGCGCUUGAGAGAACUCGGGUGAAGGAACUAGGCAAAAUGGUGCCGUAACUUCGGGAGAAGGCACGCUGUCGUUAGGUGAUACCCCUUGCGGGUGGAGCUGAAGGCAGUCGAAGAUACCAGCUGGCUGCAACUGUUUAUUAAAAACACAGCACUGUGCAAACACGAAAGUGGACGUAUACGGUGUGACGCCUGCCCGGUGCCGGAAGGUUAAUUGAUGGGGUUAUCCGCAAGGAGAAGCUCUUGAUCGAAGCCCCGGUAAACGGCGGCCGUAACUAUAACGGUCCUAAGGUAGCGAAAUUCCUUGUCGGGUAAGUUCCGACCUGCACGAAUGGCGUAAUGAUGGCCAGGCUGUCUCCACCCGAGACUCAGUGAAAUUGAACUCGCUGUGAAGAUGCAGUGUACCCGCGGCAAGACGGAAAGACCCCGUGAACCUUUACUACAGCUUGACACUGAACAUUGAGCCUUGAUGUGUAGGAUAGGUGGGAGGCUUUGAAGCGUGGACGCCAGUCUGCGUGGAGCCAACCUUGAAAUACCACCCUUUAACGUUUGAUGUUCUAACCUGGCGCCGUGAUCCGGCGUGGGGACAGUGUCUGGUGGGUAGUUUGACUGGGGCGGUCUCCUCCUAAAGAGUAACGGAGGAGCACGAAGGUUAGCUAAUCACGGUCGGACAUCGUGAGGUUAGUGCAAUGGCAUAAGCUAGCUUGACUGCGAGAGUGACGGCUCGAGCAGGUACGAAAGUAGGUCAUAGUGAUCCGGUGGUUCUGAAUGGAAGGGCCAUCGCUCAACGGAUAAAAGGUACUCCGGGGAUAACAGGCUGAUACCGCCCAAGAGUUCAUAUCGACGGCGGUGUUUGGCACCUCGAUGUCGGCUCAUCACAUCCUGGGGCUGAAGUAGGUCCCAAGGGUACGGCUGUUCGCCGUUUAAAGUGGUACGCGAGCUGGGUUUAGAACGUCGUGAGACAGUUCGGUCCCUAUCUGCCGUGGGCGCUGGAGAAUUGAGAGGGGUUGCUCCUAGUACGAGAGGACCGGAGUGAACGCACCACUGGUGUUCGGGUUGUCAUGCCAAUGGCAUUGCCCGGUAGCUAAGUGCGGAAAAGAUAAGCGCUGAAAGCAUCUAAGCGCGAAACUUGCCUCGAGAUGAGUUCUCCCUGGGUCCUUGAGACCCCUGAAGGGACGUUGAAGACUACGACGUUGAUAGGCCGGGUGUGUAAGCGCAGCGAUGCGUUGAGCUAACCGGUACUAAUGACCCGUGAGGCUUAACCUU
rnacentral:rRNA from 1 species